rnacentral:rRNA from 1 species
GGGAAGUCGUACCCAGGUCAGGCGUAAGGUACUACCCGCUGAGUUUAAGCAUAUCAAUAAGCGGAGG